GGGUCACAGAGUCCCUGAGCAGGACAGCAGCCAGGGCAGGUAAGACAGACUGGGGAAGGUGCUGUGAUCCAGGGACUAAGGGCACUGGGACCUGGCGGCCACCACAGAGGUGGGAAGAUGGAAAAGAGGGAGAAGAAGGCAAUAUUUUGGCCUGAGUGUUGGAGGAGUAGGGACUGGUCAGUGCAGGACAGCCAGGCUGAGGGAACAGCAUGCACCAAAGGCAUGAAGUCACAACAAAACGUGGCACCUUUGUCAGCCGUAUCGCCCCGGCAUCUGACACCACAGAGCAGUCCCUCCUUCUGGAAACUCUCCUCCUUACCUUUCUGGGUCACUGUUCUCUCUGGGCUGCUCUGUGGCUCCCGCCAGCCAAGCAGGCACCAGGGGGCCCUGAGGGAAUGAGGCACAGGCUAAUGACCUUGGUUUUGUUGAGUGGGGGCUCCGUAGAGAUCAUGAGAAUUAAACCAACCUACUUCAUAAUGUUCUGGAUGCUCAGGCCAAUGCACCACGGCGAAAGGACCUAGAAUCCAUAGUCAACGGACUUGAGUUCAAGUUGAGGGCGAUGGCCCAUGGCAGACAUGAUAUUUGACCUCCCUGAGCCUCAGUAUCUUUAUCCACAAAAUGGGACAAUAAGAACAUCUAUCCUGUAGGGUUGUUGAGAGAUUUAAACAAGACUUGAGAAAAGCCCCUUACCACUAACUAUUUAUCAUCAGAAGAAGCUGCCUACAAUCGUAACAGCAGGGCAAAACCGCAAAGGCAAAAUGCAAGGCCGUGACAUUUCAGCAGGUCAUUUUUGGCUAAGAAACCAGCGCUCACGACAAGUGCUUGUGAUAUAUCCUUGUGGUCGGACCGCCGGUCACAAGUUCUAAUUAAGGAAACGCUCUCUGACAGACCAGUCGCUGACGUGAGUCACUGAGGUCAGCCGUGUCACUCCCUGACCGGGGAACUCUCCUGGAAAUGGUUUGGAGAUAAGUAUGUUCUCAUGAAAAGAAAGCAGUGAUUUAUAAUCAUUUUCACCCAGGAAGAUUAAUUUACAGUCCUGACAGGAACCGGCUUCUGCAACAGCAGGUGGUAAAAAUAACUCUGCCAGGGCCACCUCCUUUUACUUCCUUGAAGCGCCCUCUCUUGCAUUUGCUCCU
rnacentral:lncRNA from 1 species